rnacentral:lncRNA from 1 species
GUAAGAAAAUAUUCUGAAACAUGCUUUAGACUUUUUUGUAUUUUAAUAGAGACCUGGUCCUGAAUAGAGAGCUGGUCCUGAAUAGAGAGCUGGUCCUGAAUAGAGAGCUGGUCCUGAAUAGAGAGCUGGUCCUGAAUAGAGACCUGGUCCUGAAUAGAGAGCUGGUCCUGAAUAGAGAACUGGUCCUGAAUAGAGACCUGGUCCUGAAUAGAGAGCUGGUCCUGAAUAGAGAGCUGGUCCUGAAUAGAGAGCUGGUCCUGUAUAGAGAGCUGGUCCUGUAUAGAGAGCUGGUCCUGAAUAGAGAGCUGGUCCUGAAUAGAGACCUGGUCCUGAAUAGAGAGCUGGUCCUGAAUAGAGAGCUGGUCCUGAAUAGAGAGCUGGUCCUGAAUAGAGAGCUGGUCCUGAAUAGAGAGCUGGUCCUGAAUAGAGAGCUGGUCCUGAAUAGAGAGCUGGUCCUGAAUAGAGAGCUGGUCCUGAAUAGAGAGCUGGUCCUGUAUAGAGAGCUGGUCCUGAAUAGAGAGCUGGUCCUGAAUAGAGACCUGGUCCUGAAUAGAGAACUGGUCCUGAAUAGAGAACUGGUCCUGAAUAGAGAACUGGUCCUGAAUAGAGAGCUGGUCCUGAAUAGAGAACUGGUUCUGAAUAGAGAGCUGGUCCUGAAUAGAGAGCUGGUCCUGAAUAGAGAGCUGGUCCUGAAUAGAGAGCUGGUCCUGAAUAGAGAGCUUGUCCUGAAUAGAGACCUGGUCCUGAAUAGAGAGCUGGUCCUGAAUAGAGAGCUGGUCCUGAAUAGUUCAAUAGAGAAGCCUUUUGUUUUCACCAAUCUAAACUAUCGACUGUGUGCAUAAACACACAGACACAGACAUGCUGUUAAUGAUAAAACCAUUGGCUGAUGAAAGAGCUUUUUGAUAAUGUUUAAAAUCCAUAGAACACUGUCCUCGGGGAAGAGAUGCCCGUGGCCAAGUAAUCUGUCCUGUGGUGCUGCAACGCACAAAACACACGUACACAUUUUCAGACGCACGCAUGCACAC